rnacentral:rRNA from 1 species
GAACGCUGGCGGCGUGGAUUAGGCAUGCAAGUCGAACGCGAAGUACCCUUCGGGGAGCGAGUAGAGUGGCGAAAGGGUGAGUAAUGCUUGGAUGACCUGCCCUCGAGACGGGGACAACAGUUCGAAAGGACUGCUAAUACCCGAUAGUCCGGUUUAGAUGCGUCUAGAUCGGUAAAUGGUGCUUCCGCUCGAGGAGGGGGUUCAAGUCCUAUCAGCUUGUUGGUGAGGUAACGGCUCACCAAGGCGAUGACGGGUAGCCGGACUGAGAGGUUGGCCGGCCACAUGGGAACUGAGACACUGUCCUGACUCCUACGGGAGGCUGCAGUCGAGAAUCUUCUGCAAUGGGCGAAAGCCUGACAGAGCGACGCCGCGUGGAGGAUGAAGGCCCUCGGGUCGUAAACUCCUGUCACAUGUUAUGAAACGCACAGGUCUACCUGUGCGCUGACAAAAGACAUGAGAGGAAGUCACGGCUAACUUCGUG